rnacentral:rRNA from 1 species
ACGGUUACCUUGUUACGACUUCACCCCAGUCAUCGGCAUUACCUUAGGCGGCUCCUUCCUUACGGUUAGGUCACCGACUUUGGGCACUUCCGACUCCCAUGGCGUGACGGGCGGUGUGUACAAGACCCGGGAACGCAUUCACCCCGACAUGCUGAUUCGGGAUUACUAGCAACUCCGACUUCGUGUGGGCGGGUUGCAGCCCACAGUCCGAACUGAGACUAUCUUUUUGAGAUUCGCUCCACAUUACUGUAUUGCAACUCUUUGUAAUAGCCAUUGUAGCACGUGUGUAGCCCAGGCCGUAAGGGCCGUGAUGAUUUGACGUCAUCCCCACCUUCCUCCGUGUUAACCACGGCAGUCUAUGCAGAGUGCCCAACUUAAUGAUGGCAACUACAUAUGAGGGUUGCGCUCGUUGCAGGACUUAACCUAACAUCUCACGACACGAGCUGACGACAACCAUGCAGCACCUGUCUUCGUGUCCCGAAGGAGGGUCUUAUCUCUAAGACUUUCACUCGAUGUCAAGGCCUGGUAAGGUUUUUCGCGUUGCUUCNAAUUAAACCACAUGCUCCGCUGCUUGUGCGGGUCCCCGUCAAUUUCUUUGAGUUUCAACCUUGCGGCCGUAAUCCCCAGGCGGAAUACUUAAUGCGUUAGCGGCGGCACAGAGGGAGU